GUAAUACGAAGGGGGCUAGCGUUGCUCGGAAUUACUGGGCGUAAAGGGCGCGUAGGCGGAUCGUUAAGUCAGGGGUGAAAUCCCGGGGCUCAACCUCGGAAUUGCCCUUGAUACUGGCGAUCUUGAGUCCGGAAGAGGUGAGUGGAACUCCUAGUGUAGAGGUGGAAUUCGUAGAUAUUAGGAAGAACACCAGUGGCGAAGGCGGCUCACUGGUCCGGUACUGACGCUGAGGUGCGAAAGCGUGGGGAGCAAA
rnacentral:rRNA from 1 species